AGCUUCAAUGAGUGCUAUUAUUGGGAAAAAUGCAGCACAUAUUUUCUCUGAGAUUGUCAAUGAACUCGAACUCUGAAGAAAUCAUAAGAGAUCAAUGAAUACCCAGAAAAUUAUAUUUUUUUUUUGAAAAAAAGGAAGAUUGAGUUUGUUGAAUUACCAGAGAAUCUCGGGUUGAAUCCAUUGAUUUUUAUCACAUUUCUCCCUUAAUUGCUUCCUCGUACCAGCUGGUCCAGAUUACAAAUAAUUCAGAGAGAGAGAGAGAAAGGAGACAGAGAGGAGAGAGAAAAAGAAGGUGGUGUGUGUGUGGUGCGCGGAAGAUUGUCUUGAAAGGAUUGAACACGAUGUCUAUUUAUAUUUUUUCUUCCUCGUCCUAAUAUUAUUCUCAUUUUCCAAUUUCAUAACUUUUGUAUACUAUUAUUUUUCUCUUCAUAAUUUCAAA
rnacentral:lncRNA from 1 species